UUAAGCGACUAAGCGUACACGGUGGAUGCCCUGGCAGUCAGAGGCGAUGAAGGACGUGCUAAUCUGCGAUAAGCGUCGGUAAGGUGAUAUGAACCGUUAUAACCGGCGAUUUCCGAAUGGGGAAACCCAGUGUGAUUCGUCACACUAUCAUUAACUGAAUCCAUAGGUUAAUGAGGCGAACCGGGGGAACUGAAACAUCUAAGUACCCCGAGGAAAAGAAAUCAACCGAGAUUCCCCCAGUAGCGGCGAGCGAACGGGGAGCAGCCCAGAGCCUGAAUCAGUGUGUGUGUUAGUGGAAGCGUCUGGAAAGGCGCGCGAUACAGGGUGACAGCCCCGUACACAAAAAUGCACAUGCUGUGAGCUCGAUGAGUAGGGCGGGACACGUGGUAUCCUGUCUGAAUAUGGGGGGACCAUCCUCCAAGGCUAAAUACUCCUGACUGACCGAUAGUGAACCAGUACCGUGAGGGAAAGGCGAAAAGAACCCCGGCGAGGGGAGUGAAAAAGAACCUGAAACCGUGUACGUACAAGCAGUGGGAGCACAGAGCAAUCUGUGUGACUGCGUACCUUUUGUAUAAUGGGUCAGCGACUUAUAUUCUGUAGCAAGGUUAACCGAAUAGGGGAGCCGAAGGGAAACCGAGUCUUAACUGGGCGUUAAGUUGCAGGGUAUAGACCCGAAACCCGGUGAUCUAGCCAUGGGCAGGUUGAAGGUUGGGUAACACUAACUGGAGGACCGAACCGACUAAUGUUGAAAAAUUAGCGGAUGACUUGUGGCUGGGGGUGAAAGGCCAAUCAAACCGGGAGAUAGCUGGUUCUCCCCGAAAGCUAUUUAGGUAGCGCCUCGUGAAUUCAUCUCCGGGGGUAGAGCACUGUUUCGGCAAGGGGGUCAUCCCGACUUACCAACCCGAUGCAAACUGCGAAUACCGGAGAAUGUUAUCACGGGAGACACACGGCGGGUGCUAACGUCCGUCGUGAAGAGGGAAACAACCCAGACCGCCAGCUAAGGUCCCAAAGUCAUGGUUAAGUGGGAAACGAUGUGGGAAGGCCCAGACAGCCAGGAUGUUGGCUUAGAAGCAGCCAUCAUUUAAAGAAAGCGUAAUAGCUCACUGGUCGAGUCGGCCUGCGCGGAAGAUGUAACGGGGCUAAACCAUGCACCGAAGCUGCGGCAGCGACGCUUAUGCGUUGUUGGGUAGGGGAGCGUUCUGUAAGCCUGCGAAGGUGUGCUGUGAGGCAUGCUGGAGGUAUCAGAAGUGCGAAUGCUGACAUAAGUAACGAUAAAGCGGGUGAAAAGCCCGCUCGCCGGAAGACCAAGGGUUCCUGUCCAACGUUAAUCGGGGCAGGGUGAGUCGACCCCUAAGGCGAGGCCGAAAGGCGUAGUCGAUGGGAAACAGGUUAAUAUUCCUGUACUUGGUGUUACUGCGAAGGGGGGACGGAGAAGGCUAUGUUGGCCGGGCGACGGUUGUCCCGGUUUAAGCGUGUAGGCUGGUUUUCCAGGCAAAUCCGGAAAAUCAAGGCUGAGGCGUGAUGACGAGGCACUACGGUGCUGAAGCAACAAAUGCCCUGCUUCCAGGAAAAGCCUCUAAGCAUCAGGUAACAUCAAAUCGUACCCCAAACCGACACAGGUGGUCAGGUAGAGAAUACCAAGGCGCUUGAGAGAACUCGGGUGAAGGAACUAGGCAAAAUGGUGCCGUAACUUCGGGAGAAGGCACGCUGAUAUGUAGGUGAAGUCCCUCGCGGAUGGAGCUGAAAUCAGUCGAAGAUACCAGCUGGCUGCAACUGUUUAUUAAAAACACAGCACUGUGCAAACACGAAAGUGGACGUAUACGGUGUGACGCCUGCCCGGUGCCGGAAGGUUAAUUGAUGGGGUUAGCGCAAGCGAAGCUCUUGAUCGAAGCCCCGGUAAACGGCGGCCGUAACUAUAACGGUCCUAAGGUAGCGAAAUUCCUUGUCGGGUAAGUUCCGACCUGCACGAAUGGCGUAAUGAUGGCCAGGCUGUCUCCACCCGAGACUCAGUGAAAUUGAACUCGCUGUGAAGAUGCAGUGUACCCGCGGCAAGACGGAAAGACCCCGUGAACCUUUACUAUAGCUUGACACUGAACAUUGAGCCUUGAUGUGUAGGAUAGGUGGGAGGCUUUGAAGUGUGGACGCCAGUCUGCAUGGAGCCGACCUUGAAAUACCACCCUUUAAUGUUUGAUGUUCUAACGUUGACCCGUAAUCCGGGUUGCGGACAGUGUCUGGUGGGUAGUUUGACUGGGGCGGUCUCCUCCUAAAGAGUAACGGAGGAGCACGAAGGUUGGCUAAUCCUGGUCGGACAUCAGGAGGUUAGUGCAAUGGCAUAAGCCAGCUUGACUGCGAGCGUGACGGCGCGAGCAGGUGCGAAAGCAGGUCAUAGUGAUCCGGUGGUUCUGAAUGGAAGGGCCAUCGCUCAACGGAUAAAAGGUACUCCGGGGAUAACAGGCUGAUACCGCCCAAGAGUUCAUAUCGACGGCGGUGUUUGGCACCUCGAUGUCGGCUCAUCACAUCCUGGGGCUGAAGUAGGUCCCAAGGGUAUGGCUGUUCGCCAUUUAAAGUGGUACGCGAGCUGGGUUUAGAACGUCGUGAGACAGUUCGGUCCCUAUCUGCCGUGGGCGCUGGAGAACUGAGGGGGGCUGCUCCUAGUACGAGAGGACCGGAGUGGACGCAUCACUGGUGUUCGGGUUGUCAUGCCAAUGGCACUGCCCGGUAGCUAAAUGCGGAAGAGAUAAGUGCUGAAAGCAUCUAAGCACGAAACUUGCCCCGAGAUGAGUUCUCCCUGACUCCUUGAGAGUCCUGAAGGAACGUUGAAGACGACGACGUUGAUAGGCCGGGUGUGUAAGCGCAGCGAUGCGUUGAGCUAACCGGUACUAAUGAACCGUGAGGCUUAACCUU
rnacentral:rRNA from 1 species